CCGGCUGCGCAUGUGAAGCUCGUGUGCUCGGCCACCCGUCUCUUUUGGAUGUAGAUCGUUUUUUUUUGGGCUCCUAGCGUUCUUUUGUGUUCCGUCUGCAUUUCGACAUGGCACAGCUGCAUUACUGGACUACAGCAAGCUGAUGGCAUCCGGUGGAGCAUCGUACGGCGACGAAUGCUGCUUACCUGGUGCCACAACUUUGGAUGAAUGCAGAAGAAGCCCGGAACGAGCAUUUAUAUAGAGCAAAAUAAACAUUUCAUCAUUUCAGAA